rnacentral:lncRNA from 1 species
CAGAGCAGGAGACGCCGGAGGAGGAGCGCGACGAAAACAGUGUUCGACAGUGGCGCCGCGGCCCCUGUCAACGGUCGCGUUCCGGCGCGUUCGCCUGUCCUGUUCGGGGUUCGGUCCCGCUCCCAGUCAGUCCCACGCUGUACGGGGCGUGGAGCACCCACACACUUGGCGCGGGCGGACUGGGCGGCGGGACGGGUGUCUCUCGCGUGGAAAGUGGAAUCCCCUCGUGAACGUUCCAGAGCCGAGCCGAGCGGGGGUUUGUGUGGUCGUGCACCGUGGUGCCCCUGCGUGCCACACCUUUGCCGCAUGUGUGCCUCGUGACUCCUCACCUGCGGCUGCAGUCUGACGUGCUACGCUCCUCUGGUUCUGCGUGCUGGGAUGCUAGCACGGGCGCACAUCGCUCUCCAGCUAGGAUUUUUUUUUGCUUGUCCGGCUGUCCCAUCCAUCUGUUACGGGCAAACUAGUACGUAGUAACGUAGUAUACGGAGUACUCGUACGGACCAUAAUUUGCUUAUCGAAAACUAUUAUUAAAAGUACUAUUUACUGAAUUUUUAUAAAAGAGCACUGCUAAAUGAUA